GACGAACGCUGGCGGCGUGCUUAACACAUGCAAGUCGAACGGAAAGGCCCUGCUUUUGUGGGGUGCUCGAGUGGCGAACGGGUGAGUAACACGUGAGUAACCUGCCCUUGACUUUGGGAUAACUUCAGGAAACUGGGGCUAAUACCGGAUAGGAGCUCCUGCUGCAUGGUGGGGGUUGGAAAGUUUCGGCGGUUGGGGAUGGACUCGCGGCUUAUCAGCUUGUUGGUGGGGUAGUGGCUUACCAAGGCUUUGACGGGUAGCCGGCCUGAGAGGGUGACCGGCCACAUUGGGACUGAGAGACGGCCCAGACUCCAACGGGAGGCAGAAGUGGGGAAUAUUGAACAAUGGGCGGAAGCCUGAUGCAGCAACGCCGCGUGCUGGAUGACGGCCUUCGGGUUGUAAACCGAUUUCGCCUGUGACGAAGCGUGAGUGACGGUAAUGGGUAAAGAAGCACCGGCUAACUACGUG
rnacentral:rRNA from 1 species